UUGCUCACUUCAGCAGCAUAUAUACAAAAAUUGGAAUGAUACAGAGAAUAUUAGCAUGGCCCCUGUGCAAGAAUGGCAUGCGAAUUCAUGAAUCAUUCCCUAUUUUU
ensembl:snRNA U6 U6 spliceosomal RNA